UACGUAGGGGGGCUAGCGUUGUCCGGAAUCAUUGGGCGUAAAGCGCGCGUAGGCGGCCAGAUUAGUCCGGUGUGAAAGUCAGAGGCUCAACCUUUGAAUGCCGCUGGAAACUGUCUGGCUAGAGUCCGGGAGGGGCGAGUGGAAUUCCUGGUGUAGCGGUGAAAUGCGCAGAUAUCAGGAGGAACACCGGUGGCGAAGGCGGAUCUCUGGGCCUUGCCUGACGCUGAGGCGCGAAAGCUAGGGGAGCAAACGGGG
rnacentral:rRNA from 1 species